AGAGUUUGAUCCUGGCUCAGGACGAACGCUGGCGGCGUGCCUAACACAUGCAAGUUGAGCGACGAACCAGGGCUUGCCCUGGGGCAAAGCAGCGAACGGGUGAGUAACACGUGGGUAACCUACCCCGAUAACCGGGAUAACCCGAGGAAACUCGGGCUAAUACCGGAUACCCCCAUUUCAUCGCAUGUUGAGAUGAGGAAAUGCUCCGACGCUCCGGGAGGGUCUCGCGGCCUAUCAGGUAGUUGGUGAGGUAACGGCUCACCAAGCCGAAGACGGGUAGCUGGUCUGAGAGGACGAUCAGCCACACUGGGACUGAGACACGGCCCAGACUCCUACGGGAGGCAGCAGUGGGGAAUCUUGCGCAAUGGGCGAAAGCCUGACGCAGCAACGCCGCGUGCGGGAUGAAGGCUCUCGGGUUGUAAACCGCUUUCAGGAGGGACGAAAAUGACGGUACCUCCAGAAGAAGCCCCGGCCAACUACGUGCCAGCAGCCGCGGUAAUUC
rnacentral:rRNA from 1 species